rnacentral:rRNA from 1 species
AACGUAGGACGCAAGCGUUAUCCGGAGUUACUGGGCGUAAAGGGCGUGCAGGCGGUUUUGUAAGUUUGAUGUGAAAGCGCCCGGCUUAACCGGGCGAGGACAUUGGAGACUGCAAGACUAGAGGCAGAUAGAGGGGUGUAGAAUUCCGGGUGUAGUGGUGAAAUGCGUAGAGAUCCGGAGGAAUACCAGAGGCGAAGGCGGCACCCUGGGUCUGACCUGACGCUGAGACGCGACAGCAUGGGGAGCGAACGGG